rnacentral:rRNA from 1 species
AUGAGCUUCCUCGACUUCCCCUUCGUCGCGGACCGCUCCUCCGCCGACCCGCGCAGGUUCCCCGGGCACCCGGAGGUCGAGGGCGAGCUGGAGGAGGACGUGUUCGACGCCGUGGUCGUCUGCAACGGCCACUUCACCGAGCCGCGCGUCGCCGCCAUCGCCGGUAUCCAUUGCUGGCCCGGGAAACAGAUGCACAGCCACAACUACCGUGUGCCUGAUCGAUUUCGCGGUCAGGUUGUAAUGGUGAUAGGGUACCAGCCGAGCGGCAUGGACAUCUCCAGGGACAUCGCCGGUGUGGCCAAAGAGGUCCACGUCGCCAUGAAAUCGGAACCUCCUUAUCAAAUGGACACUACUACUGCCACUGGCCAUGCCAACCUGUGGCUCCAUUCCUGCACGAUUGAGCGUGCGGAGGAAGACGGUAGCUUGGUGUUCCAAGACGGCAGCAGGAUCAAAGCUGAUGUCAUCCUGCACUGCACUGGAUACAAGUACAGCUUUCCAUUCCUGGGUGGCGACGACGACGGCGAGUUGGCCGGUGCAAUCUUUGUGGACGACAACCGCGUGGGCCCGCUGUACAAGCACGUGUUCCCGCCAAUAUUGGCUCCUCACAUCUCCUUCAUCGGAUUGCCCUUCAGGACGAUCCCUUUUCUAGUGUUUCAGCUCCAAAGCAAGUGGGUGGCUGGGGUUCUAUCGGGAAGACUUGAGCUCCCAUCACAAGAGGCCAUGAUGCGGGAUGUGGAUGCGUUCUACUCGGACAUGGAAGCUCGCGGAUGCCCCAAGAGACGCACUCAUGAUCUGGGACAAGGCAAUCUGUUUGAGUACGAGGACUGGGUGGCGGAGCAAUGCGGGCUGGGGAGGAUGGAAGGGUGGAGGAAGGGCAUGUUCGUUGCAACGUGUAAGAACCUGGCUGAUCGCCCGAACAGCUACCGGGAUGAAUGGGACGACGACCACCUGUUGCCACAGGCGCAUCAGGAUUUCAGCAAGCAUUCCUGCCUCUGA